CCUACGGGAGGCAGCAGUGAGGAAUAUUGGUCAAUGGCCGGAAGGCUGAACCAGCCAUGCCGCGUGAAGGUCAGUGCCCUAUGGGCGUUAAACUUCUUUUGUGCGGGAGCAAUAAUGGUCACGUGUGGCCAGACGAGAGUACCGUACGAAUAAGCAUCGGCUAAAUCCGUGCCAGCAGCCGCAGGAAUACGGGAGAUGCAAGCGUUAUACGGAUUUAUUGGGUCUAAAGGGUCCGUAGGCUUGUAGGUCAGGCCGCGGUGGAAUGCCGCGGGUUAAAGGGGUGAAGUGCCAUUGAAACUGGCUUGCUGGAAUGCGGGAGCGGUGAGAGGAAUGUGUGGUGUAGCGGUGAAAUGCAUAGAUAUCACGCAGAACACCGGUUGCGAAGGCAUCUCUCGGGUCCGCGAUUGACGCUGAUGCACGAAAGCGUGGGUAUCAAACAGGAUUAGAUACCCCAGUAGUC
rnacentral:rRNA from 1 species